rnacentral:lncRNA from 1 species
UUGGCACAAAAUGGCAGCAUAACUUUACUCACAAUAAACUUGGAAAAUACAAGAGAUAGCCUUCCUAUUCAUAGGCUAUAAAACCGUAAAAGCUAAGCUAAGUGUAAAUGAAAUGAGAGCCAAAUGAAAUGCAACAAUGACAAGGCACAUGGCACAUGCUUCAUGUCCGGCCAAGUAAGCACCAUUCUAGAAUGUUCACUCUCUUUUACUUUCUAGCACUACUCUAUUUACUAAGUACCCCUAAUGGGCCUUUAUGCAACAAAGCCUUCUCUUCACAAACCGUAGCUUGGCCCAUGUAUAUGUGAAGCUAGACGG